rnacentral:rRNA from 1 species
UACGUAGGGUGCGAGCGUUAAUCGGAAUUACUGGGCGUAAAGCGCACGUAGGCGGCUUUCUAAGUCAGGGGUGAAAUCCCGGGGCUCAACCCCGGAACUGCCCUUGAAACUGGAUGGCUAGAAUCCUGGAGAGGCGAGUGGAAUUCCGAGUGUAGAGGUGAAAUUCGUAGAUAUUCGGAAGAACACCAGUGGCGAAGGCGGCUCACUGAGCUGGUAUUGACGCUGAGGUGCGAAAGCGUGGGGAGCAAACAGG